rnacentral:rRNA from 1 species
UACAUGGGGUGCAAACGUUGCUCGGAAUCAUUGGGCGUAAAGCGCGCGUAGGCGGUUGCUUAUGUCGGAUGUGAAAGCCCUCGGCUUAACUGAGGAAGUGCAUCCGAAACUGGGCAGCUAGAGUACGAAAGAGGGUCGCGGAAUUCCCGGUGUAGAGGUGAAAUUCGUAGAUAUCGGGAGGAACACCGGUGGCGAAGGCGGCGACCUGGGUCGAGACUGACGCUGAGGCGCGAAAGCCAGGGGAGCAAACGGG